AUUCCUAAAUAAUAGAAAUUUAAACUUCCUAAUUAUAAUAGAAUGAGAGAUCUUAAUUUCAUAAUUAAAUAUUAAAUCAAAAUAAUUCCUAAAUAUAGCCUUCAUUUACUGCUUCAUUCUCUCCCCUAGUCAGAGAAAACUUGACCUCGAGUUUUGUAGCACUAAAGAAUUGAAAUGAAUUUGGAGAAUAAGCAACCUAUCUACUUGGGUGGUGGCACUAAGAUUGAAACAAUGAACUUCAUUCUUUCCUUCACAUCUCCAAGAACAUUUGUGAUGUAGAACCAGGAAGAUUAGAGGAUCAAGAAAAACAAAUUCUCUUUUACACUGAGAAACAAAUUCUCAAUAAUUUUAUUUAUUCUCAAAAUGGAAGAAGAGAAACUUGUUCUCAAUAAUUUUAUUUAUUCCCAAAAUGGAAGAAGAGAAACUAAUUUUCAAUAAUUUUAUUUAUUCUCAAUAAUAAUCAUAAUCAAAAGCUACAAAAUAAUAGAACUAGUCCAAUAUAUAGUGUUUUUGCAAUCCUAUUGACAGUUGAAUUAGGAACCCUAAUUCAAUUCUAAUUAGGAAUACUAAAAAAAAUAAACUAGGAAAAUAAUAAACCUUAAAUAAAAUACUAAAUCUAAAAG
rnacentral:misc_RNA from 1 species